CAGGGCUUGAUGGAAGAAUUUUCUGGGCUGGUUUAUUGCACUUAACAAGAAAAUGGAAACUUGACUUGAGAGAGAAAAAACAUUUCUAAAUGCUGCACACUGCUGGGGGUCAGUUGAUGUGGUCAGUGAAAACGCCACAGAAGAAAGUGCCUCUUCAGACACACAAAGAGCCCUUGCUCUCCUGACCAACCUGAGUGGACAGCCCACCUGAGCUCUAAGUAUGUGAUGGGAAGGACUCACCUGGAUGGCCUGCAUUAUCUGGACCACAGGACAGCAGCGCCUCCCCAGCCUGGCCUGAAUACUGAGACAGCUACUUUCAAGUCCUCAGCUGCCAUGACCCAUCAGCAAUAAUCACUAAACCAACCCUUCCUCCCUUGCCCAGACUCACUUUAUUCAGAGUCUCAUUGGACUUGUGAACUGUCUUUCACUCCACUGGUGAUGGAAAACAUUUGCUUUUUUCAGUCAUCAAUCACUUUUGUUAACUCCAUCAAUGCUUUGGGAAAUUAAGGACAGAACCUGUGUCCAUACAGGGACAAAUCAGUACACAGAAAGCAGCAGUUAUCCUGAGACUUUGGUUGCAAGGCAGCAAGAGGUGGUCAAAGAACAGAGAAGUCGUCUGGAACAGAAUGACACACUGAAGGCGAAAGCCACAAGGACAGAUUUGUUGGGUAUAUAGGUAUUCUUUGAAGAUUUUCGAGAAU